rnacentral:hammerhead_ribozyme from 1 species
GUGCUGCUGAAGAGUCCCAAACUAGGACGAAAAAACUGUCCAGUAC